AUGACAUUUUUUUUACACCUGCAGUUUUCUCCAGUACUGGACACAAGGCGACCUACAAUAAAUCAAAAAUAUAGCCUUGCACAGAAAACCCAUGAUAGGUGUCAGCUUCUCUUUGCUUGGGCUUUGGACACACUGUUGAGUGAUCCAGAGAAGAAGGAUAUUGUCUGCUGUUUCCUGCACAUUCAUUUGAAGGUAAUCCAGAACAUCCAAAGCUGUCUGUGCUUUUUCAGCACUGGACAAUCAGCUUAAGAGUUUACUGUAAACUUAAUAUUAGUGUUGGGAAACCAUUGUAGUACAUUAUGGAAAAAACCACCUUCAAACAUCUUCCACAAAAAUGUUUAUAUGAUCUAAUCAUAUUUGCUGAAGAUACAGUCUUUGUAUUUCAACUUUUAUCUAUAAAAAGGAUAAUUCUGUUUCCCAUUUGGUGAUUUUUAUGUUAAUUUUAUGUUAUUUUUAAUAUAAAAAAUAGUUGUUGCUGCUGUUACUGCUGUUGCUACUGUUGUUUUGCUCUCUAUAAUAUACCAGAGGCACCAUCAACUUUGGUGUGAUAGAUUGCAUUAGGUAAAAUGCACUAAUUGAAUGUUCUGUGACAUUAGAAAAUUUGAGAUAUAAUUGGGUCACUGAACUACAAGAAGCUCUGUAAAAGAUGACAAAACACAUUGCAAAGCUCGCAUAAGACAAAUGAACAUAAAAAGAAUCAUUCUCUAAGGGGUUCUGUUAAUUGAAUACAUUUAAUAUUUUCAGAGGCAGUUAAAGCUGACACCUGCUGUUUUAUAGACUGACGUGGUCUGGAGCUAUCUUGCUCUUUCCAGUAAGCUGAAGAAGCAAAAUAUCUAAUUAAAAUGAAGGAAGAAAGGCAUUUAGUCAAAUUGGUUAAAAUGUUGUUUUUUUAAGGGGGAGAAGUCUAUUUCUCUGAUCCACCAACAGUUUGUCAAAACUAUCAAGUAAAGUACAUAUAAAAGCCCAGGAAAAUAUAUUUGAACAAAAUCUUUGCAAAGUUUUCAAAUAUACCCAUUUUGAAAAGUUUAGAUGAAAAUCUGAUUGAUCAUGGACACUGAAAGAACUUUGAGUAUGUCAAUAUUAUGAUAAAACAGAAGAAGAUUCUAUGAGAUCUAUUAGGGUAAAUAUGUUUCCCAUAGAUGCUUAAAAGAAGUCCAGAAGCAGGACAUGGGACAAUUGCCUCUGUCACUGUUCCCUAGAAAAUGGUAUUCAGAUGCACAAUACCUUUAAUCCUAGAGCUAAUAUAGAACCAUCAUGACUAGUAGGCAUUGAAUCUUAUAACCAUAGGGUAUGGGACCUCAAGGGCUAUCUAAUCCAGUGUCUUGUCAUGUAUGAAAAGACAGUUAAAUAAUUCCUGAUAGAUAUUUUCUGUUGAAAGACCUCCAAUGAAGGAUCACCAGAAAGUUCUUCUUAAUGUUAAGGCAGUAUCUCUUUUCUUGUCAUUAGUAUUCUUGGUUUUGGUCUCUGGACACCUGAAAAUAAGCUUGUUUCAUCCUCGGCAUGACAUCAAGUUAAGUUUAUUCUUCAUUGAUAGGCACAUUCUCUUUCAGCUUGUAUAACUGUGUUUUUAAACUGCUUUAAGUCAGUGGCCAUUACCACAUUUCAAUGAUGAAAGUUAUUAGAUGAUUGAAUUGUUGUCUUUUGGACUGUAUGGUCAUGUUCCAGAAGCUUUCUCUCCUGACGUUUCGCCCACAUCUAUGGCAGGCAUCCUCAGAGGUUGUAAGGUAUGUUGGAAACUAGGCAAGGGAGAUUUAUAUAUCUGUGUAAGGUCAAGGUUGAGAGAAAGGUCCAGGCUCUGUGUUUGGUAGUCCCUAUGUGGUUUGGGCACUGUUUUUGGUGGUCCCUGUAGGAGUCUACUAUAUAACAUGCAGGUGUGGACAAGUCUACAUAGGGACCAUCAAACACAGUACCCAAGCAUGAAUCAAAGAACGUGAAAGGCACUGCAGACUACUUCAACCAGAGAAGUCAGCCAUAGCAGAGCACCUGAUGAACCAACCUGGACACAGCAUAUUAUUUGAGAACACAGAAAUGCUGGGCCACUCUAACAUACCAUGUCAGACUACACAGUGAAGCCACUGAAAUCCACAAGCAUGUGGACAAUUUCAACAGAAAAGAGGAAACCAUGAAAAUGAAGAAAAUCUGGCUACCAGUAUUUUGAAAAACUCUAAAAUCAGAACAGUAAAUAAAGAACAACACUCAGAAAACAGAGAAAUUCCAGACAUGAAACAAUCAAGGACAGCUAAUACCUCCAAACAAAGGAUUCUCCCAGACAGGAAGAAGCCAGGCCUUGAGGCCACAGGGCCAUUAAAUGCUAAUUAAGGUGAGUAAUUACAACAUCCACACCUGCCUCCAACAGACAAAAGUUCUUUCUCCCACCCUGGACCUUACACAGAUAUAUAAAAACCUCCUUUGCCUAGUUUCCAACAUACCUCACAACCUCUGAGGAUGCCUGCCACAGAUGUGGAUGAAAUUGUCAGGAGUGAAAGCUUCUGGAACAUGGCCAUACAGCCCAAAAGACUCACAGCAACCCAGUGAUUCCAGCCAUAAAAGCCUUCAACAAUAUAG
ensembl:lncRNA